GAGUUUGAUCCUGCUCAGAUUGAACGCUGGCGGCAUGCCUUACACAUGCAAGUCGAACGGUAACGGGUCCUUCGGGAUGCCGACGAGUGGCGAACGGGUGAGUAAUAUAUCGGAACGUGCCCAGUAGUGGGGAGUAACUGCUCGAAAGAAGCAGCUAAUACCGCAUACGACCUGAGGGUGAAAGGGGGGGAUCGCAAGACCUCUCGCUAUUGGAGCGGCCGAUAUCAGAUUAGCUAGUUGGUGGGGUAAAGGCCUACCAAGGCAACGAUCUGUAGUUGGUCUGAGAGGACGACCAGCCACACUGGGACUGAGACACGGCCCAGACUCCUACGGGAGGGCAGCAGUGGGGAAUUUUGGACAAUGGGCGCAAGCCUGAUCCAGCAAUGCCGCGUGCAGGAAGAAGGCCUCGGUUGUAAC
rnacentral:rRNA from 1 species